rnacentral:lncRNA from 1 species
UCCCUCCCUUUUUUUUUUUUCUUUUUACUAAUGACUGUAUAAUCCCUUGUACUAUAGGAUAUAUCCUGCUUAUCUUUAAGAUUUGAUGGACGUACCAAUGGAUGAGGAGCUACAGAAAUAUCUUCAGGAAAGUGCUCCCUAAUGGAUUCUAUAUGUUGAGGAAGAAUUAUUUGUAGAGGAUUUUGAACAUGCAACUUUUUCCCAUAAGUGAUAAUCUGUUCAGCUUAAAUAGAUUGGUUUGUCAACUCCAAAAGAUUACAAAUAGAUGUCGGUCUUGAGAAUUAGCUAAGAUAGAACAGAAAUUCCACUAUGAUUUUGGCAUAACAAAUUGGAUAAACUCCCACUAAAAAUAAGUUUAGUUGAAUGGGUUAUAAUUUUAUGAAUGUGUUCUUGUUGAAUUUGAUUUGGUACUCACAG